UACGGAGGGUGCGGGCGUUGUCCGGAAUCAUUGGGCGUAAAGGGCGCGUAGGUGGCGGGACAAGCGUGCGGUGAAAGCUCGGGGCUCAACCCCGAGUCGGCCGUGCGAACUGUUUUGCUUGAGCACUGUAGAGGCAGGCGGAAUUCCGGGUGUAGCGGUGGAAUGCGUAGAGAUCCGGAAGAACACCGGUGGCGAAGGCGGCCUGCUGGGCAGUGGCUGACACUGAGGCGCGACAGCGUGGGGAGCAAACAGG
rnacentral:rRNA from 1 species